rnacentral:rRNA from 1 species
GAAACCCAAAAGAUCGAAUGGGGAGAUUCAUCGUCAGCUCAUUUUAUAUAUAUGCUAGUUAUGAUAUGGGUUACUACUUGUAGUAUUGCCUGUACAUUCUUGUAUAUUUAAUUGUAAAAUGUUGUCGGCGUGCACUUCUCCCCUAGUAGGACGUCGCGACCCGUUGAGUGUUGGUCUACGGCCCAAGUGGGAGCUUUUAGUGAAUUUUAUUCAUUGAAAACCCUUGGUGUUUCCUGACUGGCACUCGUCGGUAUUCGUAUGGUAUUGAGUCGCAUAUUAUAUGCGUCCAUAUCUGUCGCAAGCGAGGUUAGUUACUGAUAGCGCGGACCUAGUGCCGUCGUUGGUGCUAAUCAGCUGUUGGUUGUACAGAAUUCUAGGACUGGCUCGUUGUGAAAUACCGGUCAGCGAUGCUACUGCUUUGGGUACUUUCAGGACCCGUCUUGAAACACGGACCAAA